CAAGAGAUAGUUUUAACUCAAAAUAUUAAUUUUGGAUAUUAAAGAUAAAGAAAUACUUUUCUCUUGA
rnacentral:tRNA from 1 species